AAUAAUUGAUGAUUGUACAUCUCUAAAUUCCUCGUCCAUGAGAGAGAACCCAUUGAAGUAUCCUAAUUAGUCUAUGGAAGACUUGAAACCCCCAACUAAUUUAUCGCCAUGGAUUCAGGGGAAUUCGCAGUCGUUGCCCUUCAUGUGCGCAUUGGAUAAACCCUCGGAUUGACACAAUGUCUACAAAUUACGCCAACUAGAUAAACUGCACUAAGCAAUCUUUAUCUAUUUAUUUGUGUGUGGUGUUGGGGGAGGUUAUGUUGGAGUUGAGGGUGCGUGGGUAGAUUUUAUAUUAUUUUAUUUUGAUUAGGUAAAUAAAUUUGUAUUGAUCAAAAUUGAGUACAACUACAAAUGUGAAAUA